rnacentral:rRNA from 1 species
CCCAGGUCAGGCGGGACU